UGGGGAAUAUUGCACAAUGGAGGGAACUCUGAUGCAGCGACGCCGCGUGAACGAAGAAGGCUUUCGAGUCGUAAAGUUCUUUUAUAUGGGAAGAUAAUGACGGUACCAUAAGAAAAAGCCCCGGCUAACUACGUGCCAGCAGCCGCGGUAAUACGUAGGGGGCUAGCGUUGUCCGGAAUCACUGGGCGUAAAGGGUUCGCAGGCGGAAAUGCAAGUCAGGUGUAAAAGGCAGUAGCUUAACUACUGUAAGCAUUUGAAACUGCAUAUCUUGAGAAGAGUAGAGGUAAGUGGAAUUUUUAGUGUAGCGGUGAAAUGCGCAGAUAUCAGGAGGAACACCGGUGGCGAAGGCGGGUCUCUGGGCUGUUACUGACGCUGAGGAGCGAAAGCGUGGGGAGCGAACAGG
rnacentral:rRNA from 1 species